UUUUUUUUGGUUAUUCCCUAAAUAAGCCCUAAAAUAAAUUACAGAACCUGUGUUCAAAAAAAAAAAAUUACAGAACCAAAUUCUUUAAACCAUAAAUUUGCAAAAACCAUAGCCAAAUGAAAGUAAAAGUACAGAAACACAACAUAUACAUAACCCAUGAACCCCUGAACGUUAUAGCUAUAUAGUCAUACAUUGAUAAAUGUGUGAGAUACCAUAUUCU
rnacentral:lncRNA from 1 species